GAGAUUAAAACCUUAACGCGACCAGGCGCUUCCAGGUCCCGGACUCGCACGAUAUGGAAAUCAGAUGCAAAGCCCGGAUGAGCAUCAGCGCCUGGUUUUUAAGAACAAGAUUUGGAUAAGAUCCAAGUGACACUAAAUAAAGCUGAAAGAACUGGAAAAAAGAAUCUUGGACCCACUAAAUAACAGAGAGAAGAGGAACAGUGAAGGAGAGAGAGAAAGAGGAGGGAGUUAAAGAGGGGGGGGGGUGAGAGGGCUGGCUUCAGUAGCACUGACUGCAGUACAGACAACAAGCCUAUUCAGCAAUAUCCCCAUCUAAUAUAGAUCUGCCUCGCACACAGCUUCCAUUCAAAGGACCAGUUUUCACCUGGCUUUACAAUCACAGCCCCAAUUUGCAAUCUAAUGGACUUAUUAAGUAGAAUUCCAGUUCCAUGAGGCUACAGUGGCAACAGUUCAGGUAAUUCAGCUGGCAUUAAUCUUAAGAAGUCAUCUGAGACACCUCUUAAUUUCCAAAGGAAAUAGAUACGCUUCUGAACAAACAAAGCCAGAAAGAAAUCCCAAAGGCAAAUAGAAUCCUGCCUGCUCAGCAAAAAAGAAACAACAAUAGAAAAAAAAACAAUAAGAAAAUUGGAAAAUACAUUGAGCUUCAUUCUAAUAUAAGACCUGUGGCUCCGGGCUCCCUUUAUUACUCUGGAUUCAAUAAUAAAACACUGGGCUGCUGCCAAACAGCUCUAGCUAAAAUCUCAUUCCAAGUUCAUUCUGAAAGCAGCAGUGCAGGAUCUAUUUUCGAAAAUCGGACUGGACACACCGUCUUCUGCACAACACGACGGCUGAAUUUAAAGAUGUGUUGAAAAACUGAUCUGGGAACACUAAGCACUCAACUGAUAAAGUUCAGCCAGUGGAUUCACUGCUGCAUUCUCUUGAAAGGCGCAUGGGUAGAGUAGGGGGUGCCCUGAUAACCCACAUAAAGUUCUUUUGAAGAUAUUUGAGAGAAGCAACAAAGGCCUCACAUGAACUGCGCUACUUAAAAUGUCCACCUCUGAUUGUCCUUGAAAUCAGAGACAUCAAUGUUGUGUGCGAUUCUACAUAUCUGCGCCACAGCCAAGCCAUCUCGAUGAGGCCCAAAAUCUUGGGAAGCUCCUUAUCCAUUCCACUGGCAUCAGACAAUGGACAUGCCACUGUCUUCACAGCUAAUUACACAGAGGACAUGCCUGUGCCUAGGAAUUGGGAUGACUCAUCUUCUUCCGUUAUUGCACUGAUGGUUGUGCUGACUCUUGCUUGUACUGUGAUAAUGACAUCUCUGGUGACUUUCUAUUGUCACAAGUUACAGCUGAAAGGCAGGAAGCUAAAGAAGGCUCAGGAAGAAUAUGAAAAGGAUCAUGGGAAAAACAACAAACAGCAAAGCACUGGAACAACAACAGUGCUUCAGAACCCUUAGGAAAUCCAGUGGGCUUUAAAAAAAGCAAUAUAUUUUCAACUGCUUUAUUUAAACACUGAUACAAGGGAUUCCAGUUCAGCUAAAGUGUUUGGCAUCAUUUUCAAGAGCAGGAACAUUUCUUCAGAAGAAAUUCUAUUUUCCAGGAUCUUAUGAGUAAUAUAUUUUUAAAUGUUUUAAGCACUGGUGAGACAGGUUUUUUUGGGGUGGGUUGCUUUGUUAUUAGGUCUUUUUGUUUGAGUUUUGAAUGCUGGCUGUUGCUCUGCCUAACAUAAGACUUCAAUGACGUACACAUUAAGAAAGAAAACAAAUGAUAACCCUUUUUGAUGGUAGCUUUUGUCUUAAAUGUCUGCAAUUUGUAGAAGAAAAACCUGCAAAUAAAGGUUUAGCAUCAUUAUGCUUGAUUAUAAAAUGGCAGUAUAUAGUUUUUAGGAAGGUAUUGUGAAAAAUGCAUACAGUACUUAUAUUUACCCUUCAGUUAUAACAAUAUUAUUAUUAAACUUGAUUAUAUGAAUUUAUAUGUAAAAUAUGUAUGUUAAGUACUAUUAGAAUUUUCAAACCAUGUAUCAAUACAAUAAAGGUAUAAUCUCUUUA